GUAGGGGGCGAGCGUUAUCCGGAUUCAUUGGGCGUAAAGAGCGCGUAGGCGGCUUGUUAAGCGAGAUGUGAAAACCGGGGGCUUAACCCGCGGCCUGCAUCUCGAACUGGCAGGCUUGAGUCUGGUAGAGGAGUGUGGAAUUCCCAGUGUAGCGGUGAAAUGCGCAGAUAUUGGGAGGAACACCAGUGGCGAAGGCGGCACUCUGGGCCACGACUGACGCUGAGGCGCGAAAGCUAGGGGAGCGAACAGGAUUAGAUACCCUGGUAGUCCUAGCCGUAAACGAUGGGCACUAGGUGUGGGGGGUAUAACUCCCUCCGUGCCGCAGCUAACGCAUUAAGUGCCCCGCCUGGGGAGUACGGCCGCAAGGCUAAA
rnacentral:rRNA from 1 species